UAACAGCCCCCUAUGUUUUGAUUCUUUGGCAGUUUUGACCCCCCAAGGCAAAAUAAAAAUAAAAAAUUUGACACGUGGCACCUCACUUAAGGUGCCACGUCAACUUGACCGAGUCAACACUGGACUGGGGGUUCAAAACUGCCAAAGAAUCAAAACAUAGGGGGCUGUUU
rfam:Medicago truncatula strain A17 chromosome 4, whole genome shotgun sequence.